GAUGAACGCUGGCGGCGUGCCUAAUACAUGCAAGUCGAGCGAACGGACGAGAAGCUUGCUUCUCUGAUGUUAGCGGCGGACGGGUGAGUAACACGUGGAUAACCUACCUAUAAGACUGGGAUAACUUCGGGACACCGGAGCUAAUACCGGAUGAUAUUUUGAACCGCAUGGUUCAAAGGUGAAAGACGGUCUUGCUGUCACUUAUAGAUUGAUCCGCGCUGCAUUAGCUAGUUGGUAAGGUAACGGCUUACCAAGGCAACGAUGCAUAGGCGACCUGGGAGGCUGAUAGGCGACCUUGGAAGGGAGACAGGGACCAGACGACUAAGGGACGGAGCAGAAGGGUAUGUGCGGCAGUGGGCGAAAGCCUUACGGAGCAAGGCCGCGUGAGUGAUGGAGGUCUUCGGAGCGUAAAACUCGGUUAUUAGGGAUGAACAUAUGUGUAAGGAACUGUGCACAUCUUGACGGUACCUAAUCAGAAAGCCACGGCUAACUACGUG
rnacentral:rRNA from 1 species